CCUACGGGAGGCUGCAGUGAGGAAUAUUGGUCAAUGGCCGAGAGGCUGAACCAGCCAAGUCGCGUGAGGGAAGAAUGUCCUAUGGAUUGUAAACCUCUUUUGUCAGGGAGCAAAGUCACCCACGUGUGGGUGUUGGAGAGUACCUGAAGAAAAAGCAUCGGCUAACUCCGUGCCAGCAGCCGCGGUAAUACGGAGGAUGCGAGCGUUAUCCGGGUUUAUGGGGUUUAAAGGGUGCGUAGGCGGGUGCACAAGUCAGCGGUAAAAUCGUGGAGGUCAACUCCAUCCAGCCGUUGAAACUGAUGAUCUGGAGUGGGCGAGAGGUAUGCGGAAUUGGCGGUGUAGCGGUGAAAUGCGUAGAUAUCACGCAGAACUCCGGUGGCGAAGGCAGCAUACCGGCGCCCGACUGACGCUGAAGCACGAAAGCGUGGGUAUCGAACAGGAUUAGAUACCCCUGUAGUC
rnacentral:rRNA from 1 species